UUUUAUAAAGAGUGGAAAGGGAAAUGAGCGGUUCUUGCAUGCACCAGAGGAUUUUCAGAGCUGAAAUAAUAGAAAAUGCAUAGCCUAUUAUUGUGUAUUUGGCAAGGUCUCGCCUCAGAGAAAUGGGUGUAGGACGUGGCUUAAUUUUCCAUUAGGAAAACCCCAUGGGUCUCAGGACUCUUGUAAUCAAUGUAAUUGUUGUUGGCCCCUCCUUUGCCAUUAGGACUUGUGGCAACGGACAUAACCUUGUAUUCCUGACAGCACAUUGAAACCCGUGUACAGAGAGUAUAUUCAACAAAAUAAUUUUAAAAGAGGUUGAAAAUCCUUCAUAUAAACCGACAAGGGCCUGUGAUUGCAGAGCAGACAGAUCCUGCAAACUACAUCGUUCAUUGGGAGAUGGAAUACCGUUACGAGAUGGAGCCCUUGUCUAUCCGCUUUCUUCGGACCUUCAAAGAACUUCUGAAAUUUGUUCUCUUCAGUUACACAGUGCUGUUAGGUGCUUUGCUCUUAGCAGGCUGGACAACAUACUUAAUGGUUGCAAAAUAAAAAGGGGAACUUUGAGUUGCUUUAUUAGGCUAUAGAGUGGCUAUUAUAAAAUAAUUUGUGUUAUGUUGUUGUUAAAAUAGCCACACUGUACAGUGAAUGUGUCCAACAUGACCUGGGACAAAUAUGUUACCAAAUAAUAAAGCUAUAACGGCAUGUUCCCAAAUAGUA